rnacentral:rRNA from 1 species
UACGUAGGUGGCAAGCGUUGUCCGGAUUUAUUGGGCGUAAAGCGCGCGCAGGCGGUUUCUUAAGUCUGAUGUGAAAGCCCUCGGCUUAACCGAGGAGGGUCAUUGGAAACUGGGAGACUUGAGUGCAGAAGAGGAAAGUGGAAUUCCAAGUGUAGCGGUGAAAUGCGUAGAGAUUUGGAGGAACACCAGUGGCGAAGGCGACUUUCUGGUCUGUAACUGACGCUGAGGCGCGAAAGCGUGGGGAGCGAUCCGG